rnacentral:lncRNA from 1 species
UUCAACCAAUUCAACUCCAAAGCCAAAAAAUGAUUCCUUGAUGCAGCAGGUUUUAUUGUUGCCUCUUGCUUGUUCAUAUUUGCUGCUAAUGGUUUUUCUCAUCUUUGAAAUUUGUGGUUUUCCUUAGUUUUUUCAUUAUGAUGAUCCUGGAGCUAAAAGAUUAUAAUUUUUUGUUAAGGCUAAAGUUUUGCUUCAAUCAUCCUUGACAAGUAGAUAUCAGUUGGUAAGUUUCUUGAUGGAAUAGGUAGAAGGCGUGGGUUAUAGGAGAUUGAUCUUGGAAAGUGGGGUAUGUCAUAUGCAGCAAGUCUUUAGUAGGUGACCGACUGAGAUUGUGAUCCUGAGAGGAGGGAUUAUAACGACUUUUGAUCAGCAUAGAAAGCUUCAGCAUUUUCUUUUUGCUGGUUAUUCCGGGGAACUAGAAUUUGAAGGAGAUCUGAGAGAAAAUUUUGGUUACAAACUGAAGGACAGAAAGUGGGUUGUAAACAUAGGAAAAGUUCAAAUGAAUUGUGUCAUGACAAAGGAAUGAAUCAGCAUUCAUGAAGUAUCUCUUUGAAAUAUCUCUAUAAACUGCCAAACAAAUGCGGCGAGGAACCUUUAGCGUAGGUAGCCAGGUUAGUCAUUGUGGAAGGUUUUUUGCCGAUACAGAUGUAGGCUAUUACGAGGGAAGUUGUCUCCAUUUUAAUCUUAGCCCAGGGUAUCAUUGCUUUAGGAUGAGAAGCGAUUAUUUGUCCAAGUCUUGGUGUCUUUUUCUUGGAUUUUGCACUGGAGUGUAAUGGUUAUCAUAAUAGUAUUACUAUUGUGGUCAAUGUUAUUUUGCAAAGAGCCGCGAAUAUAACAUUUUUAAGCUAUAUAUAUUUUUCUGAAUUCCACCACCUCUCCUAUAACAAAAGAAGCACUUCAUGCCCUUUUUUCUAGCGCAAAUAUCAAAUUAAAAUGAUAGACUUGUAUCACAAAUAGAUGUUUCUUUGCAGGGAUUUUACUACAUAGGAUUUUAAUUUAUUUUUUUGGAUGAUGGUGGUGUGGGGCUAGCUUGUGUGCACCUUGACUAAUUUCAUCAGGUACCUACUACCUCCCACCACCUCCCCAGCAUAGAUACCGUGUAACUCUUUAGGCAGAUGAGAAGAAAUCUCCUAGUCUUUCCUGCCUCCUUUGGAGUUUGAACCUAAGACCUCAUGGUUCUCUUUCACUUCUUCAUUGACUACUAGGCAACACGUUGGGUGCAUAAAAGAGCUUUUUGUUUUAAAGUUAAAAGAGAGGAGCAUACCCCAUGGCUUGAGGCAUAUGACUUAUUUGGCCUAGAUAAAAUGCGCUCUCCUCUAGUUUUGCUUUUUUCUAGAAUAAAAGUAUAGGGCUCAAGGAGAAAUAAGGGAGGUGGAUAAUUUGUGUUGCUAAUGGGAGCCAUCUUUUAGCCAAUAGGGAAGAACUGAACAAAGAUUUCCUGAUGAUCAUGGCUAGCAUAUCUAAUACAAUACAUAUUUUGGACAUGAAAAUUUGUCCUCGGGAAAAGGAAAUGUUGAAUGAGUUGAUAGUAAACUAUGGGAUUUUGAAAUCUUUCGCCUUGACAGUUAUCUGUUGUGAAGGAACUUGAUACUAAAAAAUUAACUUGAGACAUUGCUCUGAACAUUUAGUUGGAUUUGACUUUUUUAUUUAUUAUUAUUUUAUAUUUUGAAUGCCAGCAUGCAUCCAUUAUCUUUCUCUUUUCUCCACCUAUCUGGCCCGGUGGCUUGGAGGAUCAUAGUAUUAAGAGGGCUUUUGCUAACUCAAGCUAUUUUGUGAAUAAAGGAUUUUUGGUCUCAAGUAAGCUCAACAUUGGUUUAGAUAUUUACUUAUACUGGAUGAGCGUGUGCUCAAGUUUGAGCCCACAUUUAAGGGACUAAGCUUGUGUUAAGCUCGUUUGCAUUCAUGAGACCAUCUUACCUUUUUUACUUGAAGUAUCUGUAAGUAUAAAUACAACAACAACAACAACAACUACCCAGUAUAGUCCCACAAAGUGGGGUUUGGGAGGGUAAUAUGUAGACG